UACGUAGGUGGCAAGCGUUGUCCGGAUUUACUGGGCGUAAAGGGCUCGUAGGCGGCCAACUAAGUCAGACGUGAAAUCCCUCGGCUUAACCGGGGAACUGCGUCUGAUACUGGAUGGCUUGAAUCCGGGAGAGGGAUGCGGAAUUCCAGGUGUAGCGGUGAAAUGCGCAGAUAUCAGGAGGAACACCGGUGGCGAAGGCGGGUCUCUGGGCUAGUACUGACGCUCAUGCACGAAAGCGUGGGGAGCAAACAGG
rnacentral:rRNA from 1 species